rnacentral:rRNA from 1 species
CGUCUCAAAGAUUAAGCCAUGCAAGUCUAAGUUCACAUCAAUUAAAGAUGAAACUGCGAAGCGCUCAGUAAAUCAGUUAUUGUCCGUUCGAUCAUAUCAGCCAUGGAUAACUGUGGUAAAUCUAGAGCUAAUACAUAGCAAAUUCCGGUUAAACGGAAGCAUUUAUUAGACAUAGCCAACGUAACUUUUAGUUAUAAAGGUGAACCUGAAUAACUGUGCAUAUCGGCACUUGUGCCGAUAGUUCGAUCGAAUUUCUGCCCUAUCAACUAGUUGGUGAGGUAUUGGCUCACAAAGGUUGUAACGGGUAACGGGGAAUCAGGGUUCGAUUCCGGAGAGGGAGCCUGAGAAACGGCUACCACAUCUAAGGAAGGCAGCAGGCGCGCAAAUUACCCAAUCCAGAAUUUGGGAGGUAGUGACGAGAAAUACCGGAGUUGAUCAUAAUGGUUAACUAUCGGAAUGAACGUAAUUUAGUACCUUCGAUGAGUAACUACUGGAGGGCAAGUCUGGUGCCAGCAGCCGCGGUAAUUCCAGCUCCAGUAGUGUAUAUCAAUGUUGUUGCGGUUAAAACGCUCGUAGUUGGAUUACAAAAGCUCGACGGGGCCGCAGCUUAAAUAGUUGUGGCGCUGUGGGGUUUUUUUAUCGCGAGAGCCGUGUGUGGGAUUAAUUUCUUGUGCACGGUCACUUGCGGAGUGUGCCUUGAAUAAAGCACAGUGCUCAAAGCAGGCGUACGCUCGAAUGUUGUAGCAUGGAACGAAUAUGUUGACCAAGUCGAUUGUUGGUUGUUGACAGGGUCUCGAUUAAAAGGAACAUUUGAGGGCGUUGGUACUUGGUGGCGAGAGGUGAAAUUCUUAGACCCACCAAAGACUCACAAAUGCGAAAGCAUUCGCCAAGAGUGUUUUCAUUAAUCAAGAACGAAAGUCAGAGGUUCGAAGACGAUCAGAUACCGUCGUAGUUCUGACAGUAAACAAUGCUAACCUGGGGUUAGUUUGGUUCUAUCCAGAUUGGUCCCUCGGUGAAAAUUAGUCUUUAAGCUCCGGGGAGAGUAUUCACGCAAGUGAAAAAUUUAAAGAAAUUGACGGAAUGGCACCACCAGGAGUGGAGCCUGCGGCUUAAUUUGACUCAACACGGGGAAACUCACCAGGUCCAGACAUUGACAGGAUUGACAGACUAAGAGAUCUUUCAUGAUACGAUGAUUGGUGGUGCAUGGCCGUUCUUAGUUGGUGGAGUGAUCUGUCAGGUUUAUUCCGGUAACGAACGAGACCACGAUCUCUAAUUGAAACGGUUAUUUUGUUUUAACCAAUCUUAGAGAGACAACCGGAGUCAAGCCGGGGGAAGCGUGGCAAUAACAGGUCUGUGAUGCCCUUCGAUGUUCUGGGCUGCACGCGCGCUACAAUGGCAGUGACAACGAGUGCCUGCUCUGAGAGGAGUGGGAAAUCUUGAAAAUCGCUGUCGUGAUUGGGAUUGAGCCUUGUAAUAAUUGCUCAUGAAAGAGGAAUUCCUCGUAAGCGCGAGUCAUCAGCUCGUGUUGAAUACGUCUCUGCCCUUUGUACACACCGCCCGUCGCUAUUACCGAUUAGAUUAAGUUCGGAAUAAUUAGGACUUGCUUGGUCAAUUAAGACCGAGCGGGGAGAAGUUAUAACGCACGUAAUCCAGAGGAAAUAAAAGUCGUAACAAGGUUUCCGUAG